rnacentral:rRNA from 1 species
AUGUACAUUCUUACAACAUAGGUCUAAUUCAAGAGAUGUCAUUAGAACUCCACAUUUAAGUGCGCUCGGGCUAUAGUAGUACUGGGAUGGGUGACAACCCGAGAAGUUAUAGUGUUUUACAUG